rnacentral:rRNA from 1 species
UAAUUGAAGAGUUUGAUCAUGGCUCAGAUUGAACGCUGGCGGCAGGCCUAACACAUGCAAGUCGGGCGGUAACAGGGAGAAGCUUGCUUCUCCGCUGACGAGCGGCGGACGGGUGAGUAAUGUAUGGGGAUCUGCCUGAUGGCGGGGGAUAACUACUGGAAACGGUAGCUAAUACCGCAUAAUGUCUGCGGACCAAAGCGGGGGACCUCCGGGCCUCGCGCCAUCAGAUGAACCCAUAUGGGAUUAGCU